rnacentral:lncRNA from 1 species
CCCAUUGUUGAUUAAGAUUCAGUUUAAAACCUUCAAUUCAUCUUGCAAAUUCAGUGCUUGUUUCCUCGUUCUUGCUAGUUCUUCGAUUGCUUGCAGGACGGGAGCCCUAGGGGCUGGUUGUCGCGCUCCACAAGAUCGUGACGGCUGUUGGACGUGGUGUAUCGGUUGCUAAGGCGCGGUCUUGAGGGCUGUAGUCGGGCCGUGAACGUCAUCUCC